rfam:Dehalococcoidia bacterium CG2_30_46_9 cg2_3.0_scaffold_5077_c, whole genome shotgun sequence.
UAAGCCUUUAAAUCAGUCCAGCGAGACUGAUAAGGGGAAACAUGCUAAAGCAAAGUAGGGCAACAGUCCCUUCUAGGGCAGGCAAACUAGUUGUUAACCUCUUGUCAGUUUUCUGGCAGGAGGUUUUUUAAU